CGGGACGGGUGAGUAACGCGUGGAGAACCUGCCGUAUACUGGGGGAUAACACUUAGAAAUAGGUGCUAAUACCGCAUAAGCGCGCAGCUUCGCAUGAAGCGGUGUGAAAAACUCUGGUGGUAUACGAUGGUUCCGCGUCUGAUUAGCUAGUUGGUGGGGUAAUGGCCUACCAAGGCAACGAUCAGUAGCCGGCCUGAGAGGGUGAACGGCCACAUUGGGACUGAGACACGGCCCAAACUCCUACGGGAGGCAGCAG
rnacentral:rRNA from 1 species